UGCCCAGCAACUCCUAUCCCUAUCUCCUCGUGGUACUGGCCGGGGUACGAGUAACCUUGGGGAAGAUCGGGUAACCAACCCCCGGUGGGAACUUUGGUCGUAUGCUGACAGGGAAGG
rnacentral:ribozyme from 1 species